rnacentral:rRNA from 1 species
GAGUUUGAUCCUGGCUCAGAUUGAACGCUGGCGGCAGGCUUAACACAUGCAAGUCGAGCGGGCGAGGUUGCUUCGGUAACUGAGCUAGCGGCGGACGGGUGAGUAAAGCUUAGGAAUCUGCCUAUUAGUGGGGGACAACAUUUCGAAAGGGAUGCUAAUACCGCAUACGUCCUACGGGAGAAAGCAGGGGAUCACUUGUGACCUUGCGCUAAUAGAUGAGCCUAAGUCGGAUUAGCUAGUUGGUGGGGUAAAGGCCUACCAAGGCGACGAUCUGUAGCGGGUCUGAGAGGAUGAUCCGCCACACUGGGACUGAGACACGGCCCAGACUCCUACGGGAGGCAGCAGUGGGGAAUAUUGGACAAUGGGGGGAACCCUGAUCCAGCCAUGCCGCGUGUGUGAAGAAGGCCUUUUGGUUGUAAAGCACUUUAAGUGGGGAGGAGGCUCUCUUGGUUAAUACCUAAGAAGAGUGGACGUUACCCACAGAAUAAGCACCGGCUAACUCUGUGCCAGCAGCCGCGGUAAUACAGAGGGUGCGAGCGUUAAUCGGAUUUACUGGGCGUAAAGCGCGCGUAGGUGGUUAAUUAAGUCAAAUGUGAAAUCCCCGAGCUUAACUUGGGAAUUGCAUUCGAUACUGGUUAGCUAGAGUAUGGGAGAGGAUGGUAGAAUUCCAGGUGUAGCGGUGAAAUGCGUAGAGAUCUGGAGGAAUACCGAUGGCGAAGGCAGCCAUCUGGCCUAAUACUGACACUGAGGUGCGAAAGCAUGGGGAGCAAACAGGAUUAGAUACCCUGGUAGUCCAUGCCGUAAACGAUGUCUACUAGCCGUUGGGGGAUUUGAUCCUUUAGUGGCGCAGCUAACGCGAUAAGUAGACCGCCUGGGGGAGUACGGUCGCAAGACUAAAACUCAAAUGAAUUUGACGGGGGCCGCACAAGCGGUGGGAGCAUGUGGUUUAAAUUCGAUGCAACGCGAAGAACCUUACCCUGGUCUUGACAUAGUAGAGACUUUCCAGAGAUGGAAUGAUGCUUCGGAAUUCUACAUACAGUG